rnacentral:rRNA from 1 species
AACGAACGCUGGCGGCAGGCUUAACACAUGCAAGUCGAACGAUCUCUUCGGAGAUAGUGGCAGACGGGUGAGUAACGCGUGGGAACCUACCUUAUUCUACGGAAUAACAGUUAGAAAUGACUGCUAAUACCGUAUACGCCCUUCGGGGGAAAGAUUUAUCGGAGUAAGAUGGGCCCGCGUUGGAUUAGCUAGUUGGUGAGGUAAUGGCUCACCAAGGCGACGAUCUAUAGCUGGUCUGAGAGGAUGAUCAGCCACACUGGAACUGAGACACGGUCCAGACUCCUACGGGAGGCAGCAGUGGGGAAUAUUGGACAAUGGGGGCAACCCUGAUCCAGCCAUGCCGCGUGAGUGAUGAAGGCCCUAGGGUUGUAAAGCUCUUUCAACGGUGAAGAUAAUGACGGUAACCGUAGAAGAAGCCCCGGCUAACUUCG